UACGGAGGGGGCUAGCGUUGUUCGGAAUUACUGGGCGUAAAGCGCGCGUAGGCGGAUCGAUCAGUCAGAGGUGAAAUCCCGGAGCUCAACUUCGGAACUGCCUUUGAUACUGUCGAUCUGGAGUCCGGGAGAGGUGCAUGGAAUUCCGAGUGUAGAGGUGAAAUUCGUAGAUAUUCGGAGGAACACCAGAGGCGAAGGCGAUGCACUGGACCGGUACUGACGCUGAGGUGCGAAAGCGUGGGGAGCAAACAGGAUUAGAUACCCGCGUAGU
rnacentral:rRNA from 1 species